rnacentral:misc_RNA from 1 species
ACGAGUUUUAAUUGUUAAGGUUGAGAGUUGAGCUGGUUAAUCUAAUUAAUAUGUGGCUUACUCUAAUCGAAACAAGUCCACUCAUUACCUUAACACUUGUGAACUUAUUCAUUACAAACAUUAUUAUUUGUUAUUGGAACGUUUUGAUUAUUAAAAAGUUAAUA